GGCCUUAUAGCUCAGCGGUUUAGAGCAUUCGAUUGCAGAUCGAAGGGUCCCGUGUUCGAGUCACGGUGAGGCCU
rnacentral:tRNA from 1 species